AACUUGAGUGCACGAAGAGAAAAGCGGAAUUCCACGUGUAGCGGUGAAAUGCGUAGAGAUGUGGAGGAACACCAGUGGCGAAGGCGGCUUUCUGGUCUGUAACUGACGCUGAGGCGCGAAAGCGUGGGGAGCAAACAGGAUUAGAUACCCUGGUAGUCCACGCCGUAGACGAUGAGUGCUAAGUGUUAGAGGGUUUCCGCCCUUUAGUGCUGCAGCUAACGCAUUAA
rnacentral:rRNA from 1 species